UCAUCUCCGGGGGUAGAGCACUGUUUCGGCAAGGGGGUCAUCCCGACUUACCAACCCGAUGCAAACUGCGAAUACCGGAGAAUGUUAUCACGGGAGACACACGGCGGGUGCUAACGUCCGUCGUGAAGAGGGAAACAACCCAGACCGCCAGCUAAGGUCCCAAAGUCAUGGUUAAGUGGGAAACGAUGUGGGAAGGCCCAGACAGCCAGGAUGUUGGCUUAGAAGCAGCCAUCAUUUAAAGAAAGCGUAAUAGCUCACUGGUCGAGUCGGCCUGCGCGGAAGAUGUAACGGGGCUAAACCAUGCACCGAAGCUGCGGCAGCGACGCUGAUGCGUUGUUGGGUAGGGGAGCGUUCUGUAAGCCUGCGAAGGUGUGCUGUGAGGCAUGCUGGAGGUAUCAGAAGUGCGAAUGCUGACAUAAGUAACGAUAAAGCGGGUGAAAAGCCCGCUCGCCGGAAGACCAAGGGUUCCUGUCCAACGUUAAUCGGGGCAGGGUGAGUCGACCCCUAAGGCGAGGCCGAAAGGCGUAGUCGAUGGGAAACAGGUUAAUAUUCCUGUACUUGGUGUUACUGCGAAGGGGGGACGGAGAAGGCUAUGUUGGCCGGGCGACGGUUGUCCCGGUUUAAGCGUGUAGGCUGGUUUUCCAGGCAAAUCCGGAAAAUCAAGGCUGAGGCGUGAUGACGAGGCACUACGGUGCUGAAGCAACAAAUGCCCUGCUUCCAGGAAAAGCCUCUAAGCAUCAGGUAACAUCAAAUCGUACCCCAAACCGACACAGGUGGUCAGGUAGAGAAUACCAAGGCGCUUGAGAGAACUCGGGUGAAGGAACUAGGCAAAAUGGUGCCGUAACUUCGGGAGAAGGCACGCUGAUAUGUAGGUGAGGUCCCUUGCGGAUGGAGCUGAAAUCAGUCGAAGAUACCAGCUGGCUGCAACUGUUUAUUAAAAACACAGCACUGUGCAAACACGAAAGUGGACGUAUACGGUGUGACGCCUGCCCGGUGCCGGAAGGUUAAUUGAUGGGGUCAGCGCAAGCGAAGCUCUUGAUCGAAGCCCCGGUAAACGGCGGCCGUAACUAUAACGGUCCUAAGGUAGCGAAAUUCCUUGUCGGGUAAGUUCCGACCUGCACGAAUGGCGUAAUGAUGGCCAGGCUGUCUCCACCCGAGACUCAGUGAAAUUGAACUCGCUGUGAAGAUGCAGUGUACCCGCGGCAAGACGGAAAGACCCCGUGAACCUUUACUAUAGCUUGACACUGAACAUUGAGCCUUGAUGUGUAGGAUAGGUGGGAGGCUUGGAAGUGUGGACGCCAGUCUGCAUGGAGCCGACCUUGAAAUACCACCCUUUAAUGUUUGAUGUUCUAACGUUGACCCGUAAUCCGGGUUGCGGACAGUGUCUGGUGGGUAGUUUGACUGGGGCGGUCUCCUCCUAAAGAGUAACGGAGGAGCACGAAGGUUGGCUAAUCCUGGUCGGACAUCAGGAGGUUAGUGCAAUGGCAUAAGCCAGCUUGACUGCGAGCGUGACGGCGCGAGCAGGUGCGAAAGCAGGUCAUAGUGAUCCGGUGGUUCUGAAUGGAAGGGCCAUCGCUCAACGGAUAAAAGGUACUCCGGGGAUAACAGGCUGAUACCGCCCAAGAGUUCAUAUCGACGGCGGUGUUUGGCACCUCGAUGUCGGCUCAUCACAUCCUGGGGCUGAAGUAGGUCCCAAGGGUAUGGCUGUUCGCCAUUUAAAGUGGUACGCGAGCUGGGUUUAGAACGUCGUGAGACAGUUCGGUCCCUAUCUGCCGUGGGCGCUGGAGAACUGAGGGGGGCUGCUCCUAGUACGAGAGGACCGGAGUGGACGCAUCACUGGUGUUCGGGUUGUCAUGCCAAUGGCACUGCCCGGUAGCUAAAUGCGGAAGAGAUAAGUGCUGAAAGCAUCUAAGCACGAAACUUGCCCCGAGAUGAGUUCUCCCUGACCCUUUAAGGGUCCUGAAGGAACGUUGAAGACGACGACGUUGAUAGGCCGGGUGUGUAAGCGCAGCGAUGCGUUGAGCUAACCGGUACUAAUGAACCGUGAGGCUUAACCUU
rnacentral:rRNA from 1 species